CGGCGUGGAUUAGGCAUGCAAGUCGAACGGAACUUUUAGCUUUUUCGAAUGAUGAGUGGCGAAAGGGUGAGUAACGCGUGGGCAACCUGCCCUAAGGUGGGGAUAACCUGUCGAAAGACGGGCUAAUACCGCUUAAGCUUCCGGACUGAGAUGUUCGGAAGGAUAGAUGGGGAUCUCUUCGGAGACCUGUCGCCUUUGGAUGGGCCCGCGUCCUAUCAGCUAGUUGGUGAGGUAAUGGCUCACCAAGGCUAAGACGGGUAGCUGGUCUGAGAGGAUGGUCAGCCACACUGGGACUGAGACACUGCCCAGACACCUACGGGUGGCUGCAGUCGAGAAUCUUCCGCAAUGGGGGCAACCCUGACGGAGCGACGCCGCGUGUAGGAUGAAGGUCUUCGGAUUGUAAACUACUGUCAGCAGGGAAGAAUAGGCGCUUGGUUAAUAACCAGGCGUUUUGACGGUACCUGCAGAGGAAGCCACGGCUAACUUCGUG
rnacentral:rRNA from 1 species